AGUUCGGCUUGGUGAUAUUGAUGAAGCUCAUAAGGACAAUAAUAGGAAAAGAUAGUGCCAAUACAACAAGCCUAUGUUUAGGUGAUAAGAGUAGAGAAGAGAGGAGAGAGAUUCGGAUUGAUCUAGUGUCAACUGAAUGACCACCAAUGAGAUUGACCAAAAUAGGGAUGGGGUGGUAAGACAUUCGAAGAGUAAAAUAGAAGGAUUUUGCAAUAGUCAUGGCA
rnacentral:lncRNA from 1 species